UAUCGUCAGUCAUUAGGAUUACUUAGCUAAUUUCAUGAUAAUUUAACAAAUGAAGUUACAGAUGAAAUGUGUAUUAGAUAUUAAUAUAGGAUAAUGCCUGGAACCACUCAAAGUCAUUUGGAAGCACCCUGUUUUGAUGAACACUUUCUUUCUUUCUUUGAAUGUGUGUGUGGAGACGUGUAAAACCUGUAAAACCCUCCUGUGAUGAACAGGAUGCUUAGAAAGCUGCGGUUCCUUAAAGCUGGUGGUAUUUUGUAGCAUUAGGAGGCUCAUAGUCUUUGAAUAGCUCUUCAUAUGCUAAUGAGGGAACUUUAAUCAAGGGUUCUCGUUAAGGUCUCGUUUAGAGCCCUUGCGGGAGCUCGUUAAGGUAAACCUGCCCCAGGAUUACACCUAAUUAACAAACUCUAAACCAAGUGGAAAAAUGACCAGUGCUGAGAACUAGCAAUAGGUUUGUGAAUGCGAAAGGGUGUUUUUCCUCUAAAUGUCUACUGAAUAUUAAGCGCCAUCCCCUGGGUGUUGUUUGAAAUGCUCCCGUAGUUUUAUCUCCAUAAUGACUCCAUCAAAUUACCUUAGCUCAGUGUUACAAUUUCUCAGCUCCCUAUAAUCGUCUGGUUCAGAACUCAUCGCAGUGGAGGCCAAAGGUUCCUCCUGCAGAGAGAGGGUGUAACCUGUUAAAAGCAGAGAGAGAGACAAGAGAUGGGAGCUGAGGGAGGGGGCUCUGUUUGUAAUGAGCUUGGCGUGUGUCCAGUCUCGGAGCUGUGAGCUUAAAACUCUCCGUCAGGUUGAGUGAGGUUUCCAGUGAAAUCACUGAGCUGCAAACAAGCCGAUCUUAACAAGAAAAUCUAAAUUCACACCCGUGCUCCAUCGCUUAUGAGAAAGAAGAGAGGAGAGAGAGGAAGAGAGUGCAAAAAUAAAGGAACAGAAAAAGAUUACAAAAAGGUUUUAUGUCAUGUAAAAUGAGAGAUUUAUCCCAUAUUAAGAGUUUGCAGGAAUUUCCCAUUGUGCCUUCACUUGGAUCAGACCUGUCUGUUCUGUAAACUCAGUUUAGAGAAGUAUUGUGGGCUUUGAGAUAAAAGAACUGACA